UACGUAGGGUGCGAGCGUUAAUCGGAAUUACUGGGCGUAAAGCGUGCGCAGGCGGUUUUGUAAGCCAGAUGUGAAAUCCCCGGGCUCAACCUGGGAAUGGCAUUUGGGACUGCAAGGCUGGAGUACGGCAGAGGAGACUGGAAUUCCUGGUGUAGCAGUGAAAUGCGUAGAUAUCAGGAGGAAUACCGAUGGCGAAGGCAGGUCUCUGGGCUGAUACUGACGCUCAUGCACGAAGGCCAGGGGAGCAAACGGG
rnacentral:rRNA from 1 species